GACGAACGUUGGCGGCGUGCUUAACACAUGCAAGUCGAGCGGUAAGGCCCUUUCGGGGGUACACGAGCGGCGAACGGGUGAGUAACACGUGGGUGACCUGCCCUCAGCUCUGGGAUAAGCCUGGGAAACCGGGUCUAAUACUGGAUAUGACUCCAUGACGCAUGUUGUGGGGUGGAAAGCCUUGUGCGGCUGAGGAUGGGCCCGCGGCCUAUCAGCUUGUUGGUGGGGUGAUGGCCUACCAAGGCGACGACGGGUAGCCGGCCUGAGAGGGCGACCGGCCACACUGGGACUGAGACACGGCCCAGACUCCUACGGGAGGCAGCAGUGGGGAAUCUUGCGCAAUGGGCGAAAGCCUGACGCAGCGACGCCGCGUGAGGGAUGACGGCCUGGUG
rnacentral:rRNA from 1 species